AACGAACGCUGGCGGCAGGCCUAACACAUGCAAGUCGAACGCUGUAGCAAUACAGAGUGGCAGACGGGCGAGUAACGCGUGGGAACCUUCCCAGUGGUGCGGAAUAGCUCAGGGAAACUUGAGGUAAUACCGCAUAAGCCCCUAGGGGGAAAGAUUUAUCGCCAUUGGAUGGGCCCGCGUCGGAUUAGCUAGUUGGUGAGGUAAUGGCUCACCAAGGCAACGAUCCGUAGCGGUUUGAGAGAAUGACCAGCCACACUGGGACUGAGACACGGCCCAGACUCCUACGGGAGGCAGCAGUGGGGAAUCUUGGACAAUGGGCGCAAGCCUGAUCCAGCCAUGCCGCGUGAGUGACGAAGGCCUUAGGGUUGUAAAGCUCUUUUGCCGGGGACGAUAAUGACGGUACCCGGAGAAUAAGUCCCGGCUAACUUCGUGCCAGCAGCCGCAGU
rnacentral:rRNA from 1 species